AUUGAACGCUGGCGGCAUGCUUUACACAUGCAUGUCGAACGCGUGGCGAACGGGUGAGUAAUAUAUCGGAACGUACCGAGUAAUGGGGGAUAUCCACUCGCAAGAUUGGCUAAUACCGCAUAUUAUUCGAGCGGCCGAUAACUGCUUCGCUCGUUGGUGGGGUAAAGGGCGACCAAGGCGACGAUCAGUCGCUGGUCUGAGAGGACGAUACGCCACACGGGGACUGAGCCACGGGCCAGAAUCCUACGGGAGGCAGCAGUGGGGAAGUGUGGACAAGGGGGGAAACCCGGCUCCAGCAAUGCCGCGUGUAUGAAGAAGGCCUUCGGGUUGUAAAGGACUUUUGUUAUGGAAGAGGUACCUAAAGAAUAAGCACCGGCUAACUAAGUGCCAGCAGCCGCGGAAAUUC
rnacentral:rRNA from 1 species